rnacentral:rRNA from 1 species
GACGAACGCUGGCGGCGUGCUUAACACAUGCAAGUCGAACGGAAAGGCCCUUCUUGUGGGGUACUCGCGUGUCGCGAGGGUGAGUGACACGCGUGUAUCCCGCCCCUGACUUUGGGAUAUCUCUUGGAAACAGUGGGUCUAACCCCGGAGAGGAUCUCCUGGUGCGGGGUGGGUGGUAAAUUUUUUCGGCUGGUGGGGAUAGACGCGCGGCUUAUCAGCUUGGUGGUGGGGUGGUGGCUUACCAAGGCUUUGGCGGGUCGCCGGCCUGAGAGGGUGACCGGCCACAAUGGGACUGAGGUACGGCCCAGACUCCUACGGGGGGCAGCAGUGGGGAAUAUUGCACAAUGGGUGGAAGCCUGAUGCAGCAACGCCGUGGGCGGGAUGACGGCCUUCGGGUUGUAAACCGCUUUCGCUCAGGACGAAGCUGUGUGUGACGGUAGUGGGUAAAGAAGCACCGGCUAACUACGUG